GAAUUACUGGUGAAGAGUGUUUCAGUCGAGGGAACUGUAUGUGAAAAGACGCAGAGGUGAGAGAGGAGUGGCAUAGUGGAAAGCCAGGUGGUGUGUAUGUAUAUGUGUGCACGUGAGUGUGUGUGUGAGCAUAUGUGUAUGUGUGUGAGUGCAUGUGUGUGUGUGCGCGCUGUGGGUGGAAGUGUGAGAUGAGGCGGGAGAGGCAGGCAGGGGCCAGGGUAUGCAGGGACUUAAAAGCCACAUGAAAGGGUUUGGACCUGCACAUCACAGGCAUGGAACAAAGGAGAAAGUGGGGGAAUGGCAUGAUCGGUUUAUAAUUUAGAAAAAUGACCCUGGCUGUGGUGUGGAGAAUGGAGGGAGGUUGGUUUGUUGGUCUCUGUGACAGAGUCUGCCUCAGUUCUUUCCCCGAGCAAUCUGAUUCUUACCUGGGCUUGAGCCCCGCUGAGGCCAGCUGCCCUGUUUGGUUCUUGCAAGGCCUUGUCCAGGGUGCUGAACUCUGCCUCUGAUGCUCAGCUGUUGACUCACGUCCUGCUCAAAACGGACGAGUGACCUGGAACCAGGAUCCUGCAACUCCAGAAUGUCCACAGCUCCAGUGACAGCCAAAGGGUGGGGCUGAGAAGCUGUGCUGAAGACUUGUCCAGAAGAAUAUUGAUCUGGGGGCACUGAUCAAUGAGCUCUGUAUUAUCACAGGAAUAAAGAAAAUAGGAGAAAAUAU